rnacentral:rRNA from 1 species
GACGAACGCUGGCGGCGGGCUUAACACAUGCAAGUCGAACGGAAAGGCCCUGCUUUUGUGGGGUGCUCGAUUGGCGAACGGGUGAGUAACACGUGAGUAACCUGCCCUUGACUUUGGGAUAACUUCAGGAAACUGGGGCUAAUACCGGAUAGGAGCUCCUGCUGCAUGGUGGGGGUUGGAAAGUUUCGGCGGUUGGGGAUGGAUUCGCGGCUUAUCAGCUUGUUGGUUGGGUAGUGGCUUACCAAGCCUUUGACGGGUAGCCGGCCUGAGAGGGUGACCGGCCACAUGGGGACUGAGAUACGGACCAGACUGCUACGGGAGGCAGCAGUGGGGAAUAUUGCACAAUGGGCGGAAGCCUGAUGCAGCAACGCCGCGUGCGGGAUGACGGCCUUCGGGUUGUAAACCGCUUUCGCCUGUGACGAAGCGUGAGUGACGGUAAUGGGUAAAGAAGCACCGGCUAACUACGUG